rnacentral:rRNA from 1 species
UACGUAGGGCGCAAGCGUUAUCCGGAAUUAUUGGGCGUAAAGAGCUCGUAGGCGGUUUGUCGCGUCUGCCGUGAAAGUCCGGGGCUCAACUCCGGAUCUGCGGUGGGUACGGGCAGACUAGAGUGAUGUAGGGAGACUGGAAUUCCUGGUGUAGCGGUGAAAUGCGCAGAUAUCAGGAGGAACACCGGUGGCGAAGGCGGAUCUCUGGGCCGAUACUGACGCUGAGGAGCGAAAGCGUGGGGAGCGAACAGG